UCCCGCUCCUAUCGUCUAACUGAAUUCCCGAAAUUGUCACUCCUAAUUUUGAAAUCAGAUUUGUAUGGUAUUUGAUAAGACUUUCCAAUUUGUGGCCGAGAUAUCAGUCAUUGAUCACCGAAAUUUGAGACCGCCAUCCUCCCUCACCAUAAACCCUAUUCUCUCCACCAUCUUUAAAAACCUCAUCAAUCUAAGGAUCUGGUUCUCAAUUUUCACACAUAUAUUAAUCUUGAAGGAAAUCCAAUUUGAUUUUCAUACAUAUUCGUCGCCACUCACCCUUCAACAUGAUAGAAAACAUAACCUUGUCAUCAGCGUUUUCAUCUUAGUUUUUUCUAAUAAGCAAUGUACCGUCAAAGAAAACCCUAGACAUCGUCGCCGCUACUCUCUUUGAAAACCAUAGAUCCCCAACUGUUGCUAUCACCCAAGCUUCACUAUUAAAAAAAAUCAUAAACCCACACUGUAGGUACAAUCAUCUUGCUAUGAUUAAUCCGAGAAUUCACUCUCUCAGUCAAAAGGGUCCAUAUAAGGUUAAACACAUAAUCAUUGGUGGUCCACAUAAGGUGAUUUUCAAUUAUAGCAUCUUAGAUUCAAAGUACAAUGAUAUUAUUUUGAAAGUAGAAUGUUAUAAUCCUCAUGAUAAGUAUCAUAGUAGGAUGAUACAAUAAACAUGACCCCAUAAUAACAAUAUAUCGUUGCUUAUUGAAUGAGCUGAUGUUUGUGUAUGUACUCAAGUGUUUUUGGAGGAAUUACAAUUAUGUUAUUACCCCUCCUGUUACUCCAUUUUUGCAUACGUUACAAUUCCAUUAUUACCCCUCCUCUUAAUCCAUUUUGCAUAUG